CCUACGGGAGGCAGCAGUGGGGAAUAUUGGACAAUGGGCGAAAGCCUGAUCCAGCAAUGCCGCGUGAGUGAUGAAGGCCUUAGGGUUGUAAAGCUCUUUUACCAGGGAUGAUAAUGACAGUACCUGGAGAAUAAGCUCCGGCUAACUCCGUGCCAGCAGCCGCGGUAAUACGGAGGGAGCUAGCGUUGUUCGGAAUUACUGGGCGUAAAGCGUGCGUAGGCGGUGAUUCAAGUCAGAGGUGAAAGCCUGGAGCUCAACUCCAGAACGGCCUUUGAAACUAGAUCGCUAGAAUUAUGGAGAGGUAAGUGGAAUUCCGAGUGUAGAGGUGAAAUUCGUAGAUAUUCGGAAGAACACCAGUGGCGAAGGCGACUUACUGGACAUAUAUUGACGCUGAGGUACGAAAGCGUGGGGAGCAAACAGGAUUAGAUACCCUGGUAGUCCACGCCGUAAACGAUGAUAACUAGCUGUUCGGGCUCUCAGAGCUUGAGUGGCGCAGCUACGACAUUAAGUUAUCCGCCGUCGGGGUAGGUACGGUCGGCGAAGAAGUUAAAACGUUAAAAGGUAAAGUUAGUACGGACGUGAGACGUGCCGACGGACGACGACGAGGGAGGUUAGG
rnacentral:rRNA from 1 species